CUGCGGAUCCUACAUCCGGGAAGCAAGCAGACGGGCCCUCCUCCCCUCCCUCGCCUGGCGCGCGGCGCCUGGGUUCUCAUCACCACGGGCCCAGUGCUCACCGUGCGCGGGGCUGUAGGAGACGCGCGCCCGCGCGUGAGCGGGGUUGGCAUAGUAGGGGUUGCCCUGCGAGUCGAGGUGAUUGAAGAAGACGUCCACCUCGUCUGGAGGCAGCAGCUGCGCGGGUUCCAUGUAGUUGUGCGCCAGGCCCGGGUGGUGUGAGUCGGGGUGCUGCGCAUUCAGCACGGCCGGGUGCGCCAUCCAGCGCGGCUGCUCGGGCGCCACCUCCAUGGCCGGCGGCGGCGGCUCAGGGUCUGGGUGCAGACGGCAACGGCCCUGCGCGAGGAAGGGGGAGUGAGGCGUGCCGCCAGCGCCUGACACCCCCCAAAGUCCCACCACGAGGUGUCCCGCACGCCACGGAGCCCCAGCCCAGAUCCGGCGAGAAAGAGCACCAGUCCCGGGUGGGAGGAAAGCCCAAGGCUCAAAACGAAAGGAAGGCGGGGGAGGGGGUUCAGCCACGCACACUCACGUGGUGACCCGCGGCUCCAGAAUCACACACCCGUGCACAUGGGGUCACGCCCGGGGACGGGUCCCGACACCAGUGACCCCAACAAACGCACAGAGCAGCACUUCAGUCAGACACUCACACUGAGCCCCCCCGCCCGGUAGACAAACACAUGAACACAGACUCAAAAGUUGGAGACAGGCGCCCGGGCACCCAGUGUGGCACUUGAUCCCAGCGACACGCACACACCCACACUUGGCGCCAGAUACACAUACUGAUCUCAACCCCGAAAACAUGCACACGCAGCCCCCUGAGCGCAGUACUAAGCGGCACAAUCAGGACCUCUCAACAAAGCACACCAAAGCAGUCGCCCGCAGCCUGGCCCCCCGCCCUAAGUCCCCCCAGAGUCCCCUCAAAGCUAGGAGCGCCCCAGGCCCCCAGCCGGCUCUCAAACCCCAAACUUACACACGCAGCCGUGGGGAGGGGAGGGACUCGGCCUCUGAGAGUGAAGGAGUUCCGGCGGGAGCCCCGAGGGCGACGGGCCCAGGGACAGCACGUCCGGAGGCUGGCGGGGCUUACAGGGUAGGAGCUGGGGGUAGAGUGCGCCUCGGCCUCGGGCCCUCCCGGCUCCGGCCCCUCGGCAUCCUCCGGCCGCCCUGGCGCCAGCUGCCGACUCCUGCACAGACAUGAAGCGGGGGCCGCGCACGCCUAAGAAGCCCAAGCCAGCCAAUCAACGCCGCGCGCCUCCCAGCCUCCGCCUCCCAUUGGCUGCGUCCGCAAUUCCCGAACCGCUGGACUCCGGGACUGACCCGCGGGCCGGCCCCCCUCAGCCGGCGGGCCCCCUCCCUGCGCGCUCCUGGCGGCCCCUGCUGCCAACGCGCCCCACCACUAAGGGACCCUCACCCCAAGGCCCGACCCCUGCAGCCCCUCUUGCGAACACUCCGGGAUCCCUCGAUGCUCUGGGCCUCCCUAGCAGUAACUAACCACCAACUGCCCCCUCCCCAGGAGCCCGGGCCGCACACCCUCUGGAUGGCCUCUCCCCGAGACCCUAACCCCGCCACGCUCCUUCACCGCUGAACGUGGUCAGUCCGAGCGCAGUUACCUACCCAGACCGUUCCCUCCCCUAGCUCGGGCGCUGUCUGGGUGGACUGGGGGUUGGGAUGGUUCGGACGACAGCGGCGGAACAGCAGGAGCCGAGAGGGGCAGAGAGGGGCAGGAACUACAGGGCUCUAGAGGGCACCUGGGCCUCGGACACGCGGCCGCUCAGGGCUGUGCUUGACCCAGUGGAGGUGGCCCGGCCGGUGGCUCCAGAAAGGGGGAGGGGGCACCCCUCCCCGGGCGUGGCCUUCGCAGGCCAACGGGCCCAAUUGCCUGGGGCGAGGCCGUGGAGACCCGGACUGGCGCCGGCGCCAGCUGGAGGGAGACGCCCCCGGGCAAGAGCUUACGAUUCUUCAUCAACUCGUAAAAUGAGAUCGCCGCGGAGCUCGAGCCUAUUUGGCGUCUCCGGAGACUAGCAAGACCCUCUGAAAGACACCGCGUCCCCAGGGAUAAUCCCCCGUGUCCGGCAAAGCUGCCCCGCUCGAGCGCGAACCCUGGGACCCAGCGCGGGAGGCAGACCAGCAGCUGGCCGCUGGGCUGUGAACGCCAGGACCGAGCGGAAGCUUCCCGCCCGGCCGCGAUCGGUGCCGCGGCUCUCAGGGAAGUGGCUACGCGCGUCCCUCGGGAAAGCAGAGUAAUUUGCCUGUUUCUGGCAAAUCUGAAGAUUGGAAUGCCACACGGCCCAGCCAUUCCUUUUCCAGGCAUAUGAGAAGCCCUCACACAUGAGCAAGAAAGAGAUGUGGCCAAAGACAUUCAUGGAGCCCUGUUUGUUAAAACAGAGAAAAAGAAAUUAAGAAAUACCCAGCCUGGGCAACAUAGGGAGACCCUGUCUCUACUAAAAAUAAAAAUUUAUACUUGGGAGGCUAAGGCAGGAGGAUCACUUGAGCUCAGAAGAUCGAAGCUUGCAAUCAGCUGUGAUCGUGUCACUGCAUGCCAGCCUGGGUGACAGAGAGUGAGACCCUGUAUCAAUAAAGAAAGAAAGAAAGAAAAGAAACAGAAAUAAACUUAGGACACAGCAGACGGCCCAUCCUGAGGGUACCACAUAGCAGAUGCUGGGACCUUUUUUCAGGUGGACGCCACAUGACCUUUCCUUUGCAGGCAUCCAUGCUGAUGUUCACAAGGCACACAGCAUUUCAGCUGAAGAAAGAACUGGCAGGAUUUUCAUCACGAAAGGGCACUGUCUAUCGUUUAUGAAAAUGAAGCAUAUGAAGUAAAAGUUUGGAAACAGAUGGAAUUAAAUCUUCUGACAGAUUUUAAAAUAAGAUCUAAAAAAGAGCAAGACAUGCUCUUGGAUGGGGAAACUUAAUAUCAGAAAAAUGUCAAUUUUCCCAUUUUUUCCAUAUAAAUUUAAUGUAAUUCAAAUUCCAUUACCAACAGGGUGAUUUUUUAAAAAACUAGAUAAAAUGAUCUGAAAGAUUAUGCAGCAGAAUAAAUGCCCAAGAAUUACCAGGGAAGACUGGAAAAAAGACUGCUGUGGGGGUUUUGCCUUCCUGGAAAUAAGACCAUACUGCAAAGUCACUGUAAUCAGAUCAAUAUGGCAUUGGCAGAGGACUAGACAAUGGAAAGGAAUGGAGAAUACAAAAAUAAGUUUCAGGAUAUAUGAGAAUGAGAUAUAUGCCAAAGGUAGUAUUUUGAUUCGGUGGGAGAAGGGCAGACUGUGAAGUAAGUGGUACCAGCCACAACUGAAUAUCCAUCUGGGAUAAAAUAAAAUUGCACUCGUCUUAGAGAUCCAAAUCAACUUCAGAUGGAUUAAAACUUUGAAUGUAAAAAACAUAAAUGACUAACAGUCCUGCAAAAUAUCUUGGAGACAACCUGUGCCAUCUGGAGAGUGGGAAGAGCACAUGCAAAGGCCAAGGGGUGGAGCAGCCCAGCAUGUUCUGGAAAAGGUAGGGCUCCCCAAGGCUGGGAUGAUGGUGGAGACCUGGGUGUGUGGGAGCACAGGGGUGGGGGCCCGUGGGCCAGGAAUGCACAGAGAGGGGCUGGUGCUCUGCCGCAGGCCCAAGCCCCCAAAGCCCGGUCAUUCCCAGCACCAUCUUCACGGGUUUCUGCCCAGGUCUUUCUGCUGCAUCUCUUCCUCCCCCGAUUCCUUAAUCAUUUUUUUUAAAAUCAGUUCAUGUCUUUGUAAACCAAAUUAUUUCUAAAAGGCAAAUUUAUAUUACUGCCGAAAUCAAGGGUCAGUGAGCUAGUUGUGUAUGUUCUGAAUCACAUGGAAAUAAAUGCAUCGAACAUUAAGAAGGAAAGAGUGUCUAGCGUUAGCUACCUUGGUGUGCUGGGCUCAAUGUGCAUUUUGGAAGUUGCCCUGCCACCUUGUGGGCAGGAGGGACUGGAUGAGUAGGGAGUCGGAGUGAGCAUGAAGGUGACCAGAAAGUCCAUUCCUUAGAAAGUGAGGAGGUGGCAGCCAGGGUCCAGGCCUGGGCCCUGCCUGCCCCCUCCUCACACACCAGCCUCCCGUCUGUCAUUCUAGAACCUGACCACUUCCCGCCUCAACAAGCAGCCGGCCUGGUCCUAGCUCUCGCCUGGACUACUGGAAUAGCCUCCUUGCUGGAAGUCCUCAACUUCCCCACUUUCUGUUCAUAGUACAGUGGCCGGCGGGGGCCCGUGAGGAUAGAAGUCAGGCCAGGUGCAGUGGCUCACGCGUGUAGUCCCAGCACUUCAAGAGGCCAAGGUGGGUGGAUUGCUUGAGCCCAGGAGUUCAAGACCAGCCUAGGCAACACAGUUAAACCCCAUCUCUACAGAAGAUACAAAAGUUAGCUAGGCGCAGUGGCGCACGCCUGUAGUCCCAGCUACUUUGAAGACUGAGGCGGGAGGAUCACCUGAACCCAGAAGGUCAUGGCUUCAGUGAGGCUGAUUGUGUCACUGCACUCCAUCCUGGGCAACAGAGUGAGACCCUGUCUCAAACAAAAACAAAAAAAGAUGUAAGUCAAACCUGUCCCAUCUGCGCCACACCCUCCCGCAGCACCCGGGUCCCUCUUGGCCUCUUUGGUCUCAUUCCCUUUGCUUGCUCCACUCCAGCCCCACUGGCUUCCUUCUUGUUUCUCAAACAGCUGGCACACAUCCACCCCAGAACAUUGGCACUAGCUGUCCCUGUACCCAGAUACCACAUGGCUUCCUCAUACUUUGGGCCUGGUCACCUUCUUGGACCACCUCCUGAUGAACUGUGGGUGACAGCUGGAGCACAGGUGGGUUCUGGAAGCCCUGCAGCCUGGGGUCAGGAUGAAGAUUACCCAGGGCCAGCAGGCAAGCCUGAGAGGCCGGUCUCCAGGCUUUGCAGCUCCCGGCAAGAGGUCCCAGAGGUCUUGCCCUUCCAGAGAUGAAUGCUUGAGGCCCAGAACAUGGGGCCAUCCGGAGCCAAGGCCUGGGAUGUUAGAGGAGGGGAACUCGGGACUCCAUGCAAGGACCACGGGUCAGCCCUGUGCCUGUCCAGACCACCUGCAUGGGACACAGCAGGGGCCCAGAACUGGGCAUCCAGUGGAUCACUGCAGCAGCAUCUGUGUGUCCAUAUCCAGGUAGCCGCACCCAGAUUUUCCCUCCAGGGACCACCCCCUCCCACUCUCAGUUCAAGGUGGUCCAUGUGGAGCACCCACCUCUGGCCCAGCCAGUCAGAGCCAUCCUGGCUGAUUGAUUCUGGGCACAUGACUCUGGAGGAUCCAUGGAGAGUCCAACCUGGAAACUUGGCAAGAAUCCUCGGGGACUGCCCUCCUGCUGGGGUCAUGUGGCACUGGGAGCUGCGGUGGCCAUCUUUACUGCCACCCAGGAGAGCCUGCCGGAGAGUGAGACCAACACAGAGCAGCAGAGACAGAGACAGACUGGCUCCCGAGCGUUCAGCCCCAGUGCCGGAAGCCAGCUAGAGCCCUGGCCUUUUCAGUGACAUGAGCCAAUGACAACUCCCAGUUCUCUCCCUCCGGUCAAUCUGAAGCCGGGUUUUUGCCUCUUACAACUGAAAGAGUCCUGGUGGUCACAGGCAUGGCUGAUUAAAGAUGCCCACCAGGUCUUUGUUACACCCUCAUAUACUUGGGGCCUUGAAUGUGGGUGUGCUCUGAGAUGACUUGACCAGGAGAAUACGGUAGCAGUGACACUGCAGUUUCCAGCCCAGGCCUGAAGAGAUGAUUAGCGCCCACUCCUUGCUUCUUGAAAGUCUCUCCUUGGGAGUCCUGGGCUGCUAUGUUAAAAAUCCAACUGCCCUGAGGCCACCAUGAUGUGAGGAGGCUGGAGCCAGGUGGAGAGGCCAUGGUGGCGAAAGAGCUGCCGGACCAGUUCCCAUUGCCCCAGCCCCCAGCCAUCUGAGUCAUCCCCACUGAGGACACAGAUAUCACAGAGCAGAUACGAGCUAUCCCUGCACCGCCCAUCCAGAUUCUUUACCCAGUUUGUGAGAUAUAAUAAUAAUGAACUGUUUUAGGCCACUGAGUUUUGGGGUCAUUUUUAAAGCAGCAAUAGACAGAUGGAACAAUAGUAAUGAGCAAAGGGCCACAUAUACCUAUUGGAUUGGGAAGCAAGACAGAGAUGGGGCUGCCACUGUGCGCAGGAUCGACUCACCUCCUUGGGAAUUCUUAUACACGCCCGUAUGAGUGCAGGAUGCAUGAGUAGGAUAGUGGAGCCGAAAGGGUCUUGAUAGCAGAUGGCCUUGAAUUUGAGUCCCUACUCUGCUGUAAGAUCAGCUCUGAGUCCCAGGGCUAUGUUAUUUCCCCUCCUCGAGCCUCAGUUUCUUCACCUAUCAUAUAAAAAUAUUAGUACUGUGUUGCUAGGAUGAGAUUCAGCUGCACAUAACAAGGAGAUACAAAUUUUUUUUUCUGUCAUGUGAAAAUUCACAGGUAGGCAAUCCAGGGCUACUAUAUCACUCCCUGGUGUCAGAAAGCAAGGUUGGCUUUCGUCGCCUCACAUUCCAAGAUGGCUGUUACAGCCUCACCAUUGUAUCUACAUUCCAGGGAGCAGCAAGGAGGAAGUGAAUAAAGAACAAAAUGUUCACAUCAGCUGUCUCUUAAGGAAGUCCCCUGAAAGCUGACACAUCCACUUGUAUCCCAUUGGCUAAAGCACAGUCACAUGACCAUAUCUAGCUGCAAAGGAGGCUAGGGAAUGUAGUCUUGCUCUGGGAAAUCAUGUGCUCAGCUAAAAUUCUAUGGAGGAAUAAUAGCUUUUGGAAGAUACCUGACAGUCUCUGCCAAAAGUAUCUAUGUCAAGAGUUUAUGUAAUGACUGACGUGAUUUUGAAGAGGUUUUGUUUUGAACCUCUGCUGCAUGCCAGUUUCCACAAAACUAACUGCAAAAGACAUAAUCAGGUCUUUUGUAGGACAUGGCACAGGGGCUGACACAUAGUAGGUGCCCAGUAAAUGAGGCGUCCUUGUUUGCUCUUCUAGCUGCACACCUUGCUGCUCUCCUCAAUGGUGUUUCUCUGCCCCAACCCUCCAAGGAUGAGCUCCCUCCCCAAGAGGAUACCCUGUUUCAUUUUCUUCACAUCAUUUACCAUAACUAUUUGUUUCUUAAUUUGUUCAUCAUCCAUCUCUCUCCACUCUAAUAUACACAACACGAAGAGAGGGAGAGUAUCUCUAGGGUCCCACCAAGGAAAUAGAAGUCACUUGAAAAGUGUAAAGCUUAAUUUAAAAGUUAAAAUUCAGAGAUGUGAUUGUGCAGGUGAUGGAAUUGCUAAGAACAGGGGACAAUGAGGCAGCACAGAAAUUAGGAGCAAGAAGCUGUUACCUCCCCAGGGUUGGAGGGGCAAUGGGAGGAGAUGGCAUUACCAGAGCCCAAGGCCUGGGUGACACAGGGAGACUCAGCAGGCCUGUCCAGUGGGAGCUGUAGCUGUAGGAAAGACAGAGCCACACCAGAGAUGCCACCUGAGAUGAAGAGGAAGGGGGAGAAUACCCUGGCUCCUCCCUUGUUCACUCCAGGGCCUCUCAUUGGCUGAAUCCAGCAGGAAUCCAGCUGGCCUCACACCUUGGGGCUAAGCUCCCCUCCCUGAUGGGUGACACAGAGCCAAGGGAUGGGAUAACAAGAGCUAAGGGCAAACUAGCCCGGGGCUGGCACUGGUGACUUCAUCUGUCUUGUUAUCUUCUGCAUCUGGAGCUUCAAAGGCACAGCCUGGCACACGGUAGGACCUCAAUAAACAGUGGAUGAAUAGAUUGGGGUUCUCAACUCACCUUAGCACCUAUAGAAGCUGUUUAGAGUCCACAAAACAACUCUUGUACCUGUGAGGGCUCCUAGGUGCUAGGCCCACAAAGGGAGGCAUGUUAUGGCCGUGGCAUUCUGCUUGGCCAGGAUCCGAGAGGAGCCUCCCAAUUGGAGGAUUUAGCCCAAGUUGCUUCAUUCCCUGUCCAGUGGAGCCUGGCCUCUCUCUCAGCCUCCAUCAACACCCAGAAUCCUCCAUGAUGAGCUCCUAUCCCACCAGGGCAGAGAGUGGGCAUGUCCUCAUCAGGGAGAGAAAGGACAGAGACAGACAGACAGGAAGAGAGAAACAGCCAUGCAGCCAGGGCUGGGGCUCUGCUUGCCAUUGCCCUCUAUGCACUCUAACUGUGGCAAAACCUGUGCAAAGUACAUGGAUGCUACCAACCACUGGCAAAGGAAUAGGAAGCAUAUUCCUGUGGCCCGGCAAAUGCGUGGGGAUGGCUUCAUCCACAUCCUGCAGGAAGAAAUUAAAUUAAUUGACAGGUCCAAAUGUGAGUGGACAGGUGGGGCAGCAGGAGCUCUGCACGCCACUGGUGGGAGUGUUUUUUGGAAAGUGCACUUUGUAAGAGAAUUUGGCAACACUAACAAGGACGUGUGUACAGGUGAGCUCAGCAGUUCCCUGCACAGGUAAAAUCUCAGCAGCAUCCACUGAUAUAAACACAACCACAGUAACAACGCCUGGGAGCCACCCAGGUCCAUUCACAGGAGAAAGGAUAAAUGAACCAUGUCAUGCCCACACAAUGGAAUACUCGACAGCAAUGAAGACGAACAACAGUGUCACGCAUCAACGCAGAUGUACCUCCCAACAAUACUGUGAGAGAAAAAGGCAAGUCACCAAAGAACACGUAUGUAUGAGGCCAUUCAAAUAGCUCUUCUGGAUUUCACUCCUGGGGAUGUCAAGGACCCACUAGAGUUUCCAAGCCAUGUUCACAUGUCACCUCCUUGACUAAAGGGACAUGACCAAUAAAUGCAAUGUGGGGUCCUGAACUGGAUCCUAGAGCAGGACAGAAAUAGCUAUAAAGGACAUUCUUGGGACAAUUGACGUUUAGAUAUGGAUUGUGGGGUUCGAUCAUAGUAUCAUAUCAAUGCAAAUUGUCCUAGCUCUGAUAAGCAUAUGUGUUUAUGUAAGAGAAUGUCCUUGUUUUUAGGGAACAAACACUGAAAUAUACAAUAGUAGAGAGGCAUCAUGUCUCCACCAUACUCUCAGAUGGUUCAGGAGAAAUAUGCGUGUGUCUCCGUACAUAUUAAUAUAGAGAGAAUGGUACAGCCAGUGGGACAAGUUGUAAGCAAUUGGUGAAUCUAGGUAAAGGGUAUAUGGGAAAUUGCAUCAAAAUUAAAAGUUAUGAACAUGGGGGAGAAAACCCAGUUCUUCUAUAAAAACAGCCUCCAGCCUCUCCCUCCAGCACAACCUGUCCCCACACGUGGGGCACCCGGCACCCAUGCUCUGGCUCUUGUCUCUCUGGGUCUUAGUCCCACUUAGCACCCCACACCCAAAGGUCAUGUUUUCACAGAUGUGUACCCUCAAGACUAAACACACACUUGAGGCAUUCAUGUGACUAUACAUAUUUAUGGAAAAAGAAAAUUCUUGGGCUCACAAAACUGAACGCUCCAGGGUGGACUGUCUCAGGUGGCCUUAAUCGGGGUGCUGACAACAUCCAGACGAGCACGCAGGCUUCUCUCCCUGCCACGGCGGUGCCAUUCUCCAACGGACUCUGCCGCCGUGGCUGCAAGAUGGUGGCAGCAGCUCCAACCCCUGCACCCUUUUGUGGCCAAGUCCAGUGGGAAGAAUGUGAGGUCUUCUUCCAGAAGCUUCUGCAGAUUCUCAUUAGCUUCAGCUGGGUCAUGUGUCUGUCAUCCCUGACCUGGCCUCUGGGGUCAGGAAGGCACCAUGGUCAGACUGGCCAGGCCUGAGCCCCAAGCCCCAAGUCCAACCUCUUCACAAAGCACAGCUGGCUGGGGCAGAGCGGUGCCCCCAGUGGAAAAUCAAGAUGCAGUUUCAGAAGGAUGGAAAUGGAUGCUGGGUGGCGAAACGGCAGAAACCCACCCCGGCCCACGCCCUUGCCUGUCCAAAAUCCAUGCACAUGCUUCUUCCCAUGCUCCCUCUGGGGGAGGUGUGCUAGGCAGCACAGAUGUAUGCACAGCUCCCCACAGAUGCCACCCUCAUCCUUGGAAACUGUCAAUGCCCAUGAAUUUGUUACCUCACGUAGCAAAAGAGACUUUGCAGAUGUAAUUAAGGCUGCUCGUCAGUUGACCUUAAAAUAGGGAGAGUGUCUUGGAUCAUCCACAUGGGCUCAGUGGGUCACACAAGCCCUUAAAAGCAGAGAACUUUCCAUGGCUGGUGGCAGAGGUAGAAAGGACAUUGGAAAGAGACAGCAUGGGGGAAAGGGAGAUUUAAAGCUUGGGAAGGAAGGAUGGAAAGCGCGACUGCUGCUUUGAAAACAAAGGAAGCCUCAGGCCACGUAGCAAAGAAAUGGAGACCCCAGGCCUGCAAUCAUAAGCGACUGAAUUCUGCUCACAACCCUAAUGAGCACCUCCGGGAAAGAGCCCAGCCUGCCAACACCUCGAUUUUGCCUUGUAAGCCCCUAAGCAGAAAAUACAGUUGAGGCACUCUCUGCCCAGACUUGCAGUGCACAGAAACUGUGAUGCUAAAUGGAUGUUGCUUGAAGCUGCUCAGUUGGUGGCACUUUGUUACAGCAGCAAUGGAAAAUGAAUACUGGAGGUAACACUGUCUCUCCCAGUGACAGGUCCGGCUCCAGGAGCUGGACCCCAGUGACCGUGUUACAGUCUAGGCUUAAGGCCCCCCUCACUCCCAACCUCACCUGUGCAGAGAGGGAAGGAAAAGUGCCAUGUCAACCCCCAGUAAGGGAAAGGAGGAUGGGAGACCCCUAGCCUGCAGCACAUCCAAAGCCCUGCUAGAAAAAUACUGAGAAAUGUUAGACAUUGAGCUACCACAGGACCCAGGAUUACAACUCCUGGGUAUCUACCCAAGGCAAAUGAAAACAUGUGUCCCCAGAAAAAUUUGCACACAAUGUUCAUAGCAGCAUUAUUUAUAAUAAUUGAGAAAUGGGAAUAGCCCAAAUGCCCAUCAGCUAAUGAAUAGAUAAACAAAAUAUGGCAUAGCUAUACAAUGGAAUAUUAUAUGGCCCUAAAAAGUAAUGAAGAAGCCAGACAUAAAAGGCUUUGUGUGAUUCCAUUUCCAGACAGAAAGCAGAUUAGUAGUUGCUGCAGGCUGGCGGGAGGGAGGAAUGGAAAGUGGCUGCUAACAGGAACACGGUUUAUUCUGGGGGCAAUGAAAGUGUUCUAAACUUAGAUGUGAUGAUGGAUGUACAACUGCGUGAAUAUACUAAAAAGCAUUGAAUGGCAUUGAAUGGUUCAUCUUAAAUGGGUGAAUUUUAUAGUGCGUGAAUUAUAUAGAUAAAGAUGUAAAAGAUUUGUUUAACAUCAAUAAAGAUGUAAAAAAAAAAAUGUUGAGUUUCUUGGGCAGCCAGUUCAACUGCCCAGCCCUGCCCUCUAGGAGGAAAACGAGUACUCCCUGCCCACCCUUCACCAUUCCCACAUCUGAAGUGGGCAUUGGGGAUCUCAGUUCUCUAGUGGCCAGUUCCUAAUGGUGCAGAUUCUAGACUGCAGAGAUUGCUUGGGCUUGGAAAUAACAUCACAGACUUUUUCAAAAAAAUUUUUGUCUUGUUUUUGUGUUUUGUUUUGCUUUUUGUUUGCUUGUUUGUUUGUUUUUACCAGACUUGAAGUUUUGGGGCAGUACAACUCCAUCAAAAAAAUUUUGACCUCAAGUGAUCUGCCCAUUUCAGCCUCCCAAAGUGCUGGGAUUACAGGCAUGAACCACCGCAC
rnacentral:lncRNA from 1 species